rnacentral:lncRNA from 1 species
CUGGGAAGCAACAUCACUUCAUUUUCAAUAGAAAUAUGACCAGUUCAUUUUCAAAGUAAAGAUACUCAUCCUUGAAAAGUGAAACAAAACUGCAGAAGAGCAAGGUGUCAAAAUCAGAUGAGAAAUUAGAUAUUGAUAGUUGAACUUGGCGAGCAUAGCAUAUGCUAAGAUCGGACAAUAUGAUUAAACACAACGAUGGAGCAAGUAUCACAAGUAAACCAACACUGACACACUUCAGUAAAUAUGGGCUGAAUAUUUCAGAACUAAGUCUUAGGGUUUGGGUUCAGGGAUGUGAAACUGCACCAAUCAUCCAAUUUACCGGCGGCGGCAACAGACAGCGGGUCAAAUGAAAAUUCAUGGAGUACUACUAUCCAAGCCACUAACUAAAUCAAGACAGUGAAUCUCAGACGAACACUCGGCAAGAUCUGAAGAUAGCAAGCAUCUUCAGAGAAAUGGCAGCAAGAACAAUAGCUACAGCAUGGAAGCCACCCUACUUGAGAGGCCGAGCUCAGACCCGUGCGGCUGCUAGUUCUUGCUGCACGCAUGUGGACGGAGAAGGAGGAGAUCCAGCCGUGGUCAGGGACCCUGCGUUCCUGUUGCUCGUG